AUGGAGAAUGCUUUGUUGAAGCUUUGGUCAAUGGUUGAAGAGAGAAAGUGUGCUAGGGUGAAUGAUAAUCUUGAAAGUGCUUUAACUAUUCACCAGUUGACAGAAGAAAAGUACAAGCUGGAUGCAGACUAUGACAAGUUAGUGAAAGAUGUGCAUCAACUUGUGGAUAUGCAGGAGGAUAGGGUCGUGGAUUUCAGUUAUCUGCAGUCCAACAUCACAUAUCAGCAGCAAUGUAGAGUUGAAUUGGUUGCUGGUAUGAAGGCAGAAAUGGCAAAGAAAGAUGCAGCUAUAGAGAAGCUUCAAUAG
rnacentral:rRNA from 1 species